GGGGCUUAGCUCAGUGGUAGAGCCUAUGCUUGGCAUGCAGAAGGUCCCAGGUUCAGUCCCUGGUAUUCCCA